AAUCGCGAAUCAGAAUGUCGCGGUGAAUACGUUCCCGGGCCUUGUACACACCGCCCGUCACACCAUGGGAGUUGGAAGCACCCGAAGUCGGUGACCUGACCGUAAGGAGGGAGCCGCCGAAGGUGAAGCCAGCGACUGGGGUGAAGUCGUAACAAGGUACC
rnacentral:rRNA from 1 species